rnacentral:rRNA from 12 species
GUCAAGCAACUAAGCGUACGUGGUGGAUGCCUUGGCAGCUAGAGGCGAUGAAGGACGUUGUAGACUGCGAUAAGCCCCGGGGAGCCGUCAAACAGGCUUUGAUCCGAGGAUUUCCGAAUGGGGAAACCCAACCAGCUUGCUGGUUAUCUCAUACUGAAUACAUAGGUAUGAGAAGCGAACGCGGAGAACUGAAACAUCUAAGUACCCGUAGGAAAAGAAAUCAACCGAGAUUCCCCAAGUAGCGGCGAGCGAAAGGGGAUUAGCCCUUAAGUUACAGUAGGUUUAGCAGAACGCUCUGGAAAGUGCGGCGAUAGAGGGUGAUAGCCCCGUAUGCGAAAGGCCUAUUGUAGUGAAAUCGAGUAGGUCGGGACACGUGAAAUCCUGACUGAAUAUGGGGGGACCAUCCUCCAAGGCUAAAUACUCCUAGCUGACCGAUAGUGAACUAGUACCGUGAGGGAAAGGCGAAAAGAACCCCGGUGAGGGGAGUGAAAUAGAUCCUGAAACCGCGUACGUACAAGCAGUCGGAGCCCUUCGGGGUGACGGCGUACCUUUUGUAUAAUGGGUCAGCGACUUAUUUUCAGUGGCGAGCUUAACCGAAUAGGGGAGGCGUAGCGAAAGCGAGUCUUAAUAGGGCGUCUAGUCGCUGGGAAUAGACCCGAAACCGGGCGAUCUAUCCAUGGGCAGGUUGAAGGUUGGGUAACACUAACUGGAGGACCGAACCGAC